CCCUUUGGUUUCUUCUGAAAUUCAGAUACCACCAUGUCACCCAGUUCCUCCCGCAAGUAUUUGAAAAUCUUUCCUAGGAAGAUCACUGCCUGCUUUUUGUAGGUAACAAAUGUUUUUGUUUUUGUUUUGUUUUGUUUUUUUCCAGGCCUACCCAUUUCCACACUCACACAUACACUUGCAAUGUAAUGAUCCGAAAGACAUGAUCCGAGUACCUCCUGGGGUUUCCUUGAGGGGGUCACCUAAAGAAACACUGGGUGAGCCAACCCUGUCAUCCAGGGUGCAUUUUGAUGCUCCCAAGCCAUGUGACUUUGCCUCUGGUUUGUAAAAGCGGAAUUUCAUCCCCCACUCCCCUCCCCACCCUCCGUUUCAGUGUUUUGUCCCCAAGCAUCAUUUCCCCACCUCCCGAGGGCACCAGCCUUUCCGGAAAUGCCCGAGCUCCGCCGGCAGCCUCCACCUCCCGGGGGGUGAGGAAACUAAAGCCCUGGGACGUUUAAUGUCAUAUAGGGCGGCUGCAGAACUAGGAUGUGCAGUGUGGCCUCUGGGCUCUAACAUCAGUGAGCGUCACUGCUGCACUGUACUGCAUGGAACAGAUUCUGGAAGGGAUUGCAACAAUUUCCAAAGGAGAAGGGAAAGGAGUCCUCCUGCUGGAGCAGGUUGGAAGCCACUGAGCCAGGCUAUCAUCCCGGCUCAGCAGAGACCGAGUCAUGAGACCUGAGGUCCUUGAGAUGACCUCAUAUAAACACCACCAAGGGACUAGCACAGUGGCCCAGCGCACAGAAGGGGCUUAAUACAUGGUAGGUGGUAUGCAUGCAUGUGCUUCUGGUUCAGAUCCUCUCUCUGCCCUUUGCUGGGUUAGGGAGUGUGACCGUGGGCAAGGUCAGCACUGACAGGCCCUCGUGUCCUCGUCUACCACAUGGCUGAUGGGACAGCAGCUAGUUGGUGAGGCGGCCACAAGACUCAAGGAGCUUUCUGUGUGACAGAGCCAGCCCCAAACCAAGCACUCCAUGGGCAGCAACUGUGGGUUUACUAUUAUUUACUGAGCGAUGCUUUCAGAGUGGUGUGAGAAGGUCACCAGGCUGGGAAGGAGGAAAUCUAGCUCCUGGUUUUGGUUCAGAGUCAGCAAAGGACUUGAGAGACAGUGAGACACUCGGGUGCAGCCUCUCAGGGUCAGCACAGAGGAGGUAGCCGUAUAUACGCUGGCCCGCAUCUCCCCCAGGUGUAGGCUAGCUCCCCAGAGCAAACUCACUCGGGAAAGGGGCACAUAUUGAACCUGUGGAUAAAUAUCACGGUUGUCCAACAUGCAAAUGUUCCUGUUUGCAUCCUUUCCCACCAGAGCGAGAAAGUCUGUCUCCCUAUGCCCCAACCCAUCGACAUUUUUUAAGUUUCAAUUUUAUGAAUUUUUUGACUAGGUCAUAUUUGCAGAUGGCACAAAAUUUUAAAAGGUGCAAAGCGGCAGGGCCCUUGGCUGGCUCAGUCUGUAGCACAUGUGACUCUUGAUCUCGAGGUUGUAAGUUUGAGCCCCACAUUGGGUAUAGAGAUUACUUAAAAAUAAAAAAUAAAAAAAAGAAAAGGUGCA
rnacentral:lncRNA from 1 species